GAUGUUUGCCUGCAAAUCCCUUGUAUCUCUUCAUGGGAUAUAAAGUUCAGUGCCUGGAACAACAGGGUGGUAUUCUUUAAUAACUGUUAAAUUUAUUCUUUAGAGAUUUUACAAAGAUGUCCUAUUGCUCCUGGAGGGCUCCCUUGACACCCAACUCUGCAUUUUCUUUUUGCAUAAUGCCUACAAUUUAAAGCCACCAGGCUCCCUGUUGUAUAGCUCCUGUAUCCUUGGUUCAGUAUAACCAAAAUACUCAUAAAUCUCCUUUUCUUUCAGUAGCUUUCUGCAGCAGCUGGGGUAUGACAGUGAUGUCCCUGAUCUAUAAUUCCAGACAGCCCUGGGGUGAACAGACAGACCAAUCCAGAGCCACUACGUCAGAUAAAACGAUGUUGUUUGCACAACUCAGUGUCCUCAAGAGGUAGUCAUGUAAUACUCCCAAUUUGUAUUCUGCAUAAAACUCCUUUUACAAGUUAUAAACUUCCUACAGGGAACAAACGUAUCCAGCUAAAGGAUGCUGAACAUACGACUAUGUAAUGUAAUUUUAAACUCAAAAGGAAUGUGCUAAGCCUUUUACAUCCUAUAAGCUGAAAGCUAUAAAAGAACCCACAAUUUCUGUUUGUGUGACAUUCUUCACUUUGGAAUUCUAAUCAAGCAGUGUUUUCCUAAGACCUUGUGUUUGAUAUGCAGUGCGAGGAACAUGGCUGAUUAAAUGUUUAAUCUGUACAUAUCUUGAGACUUUAUUCAUAGUUAUCACAAAAAAAUAGAUUGUUUCAUUACUUGUGUUUUAUUGACUUACAUUUGAGUUGGCUAUUAAAUGAUCCUAUUAUCACAUUAAUUAUAUUAGAGAAACUUUGAUUAAAUGAUUUACUUGUAUUUUU
rnacentral:lncRNA from 1 species